rnacentral:rRNA from 2 species
UGGGGAAUAUUGGACAAUGGGCGAAAGCCUGAUCCAGCAAUGCCGCGUGAGUGAUGAAGGCCUUCGGGUCGUAAAGCUCUUUUACCAGGGAUGAUAAUGACAGUACCUGGAGAAUAAGCUCCGGCUAACUCCGUG